rnacentral:rRNA from 1 species
GCAUAUCAAUAAGCGGAGGAAAAGAAACCAACAGGGAUUGCCCCAGUAACGGCGAGUGAAGCGGCAACAGCUCAGAUUUGGAAUCUGGCCCCCAGGGCCCGAGUUGUAAUCUGGAGAGGAUGCUUCUGGCGCGGCGCCUUCCGAGUUCCCUGGAACGGGACGCCGGAGAGGGUGAGAGCCCCGUACGGUUGGACGCCUAGCCUUUGUGAAGCUCCUUCGACGAGUCGAGUAGUUUGGGAAUGCUGCUCAAAAUGGGAGGUAAAUUUCUUCUAAAGCUAAAUACCGGCCAGAGACCGAUAGCGCACAAGUAGAGUGAUCGAAAGAUGAAAAGCACUUUGAAAAGAGGGUCAAACAGUACGUGAAAUUGUUGAAAGGGAAGCGCCCGUGGCCAGACUUGUGCCCCGCGGACCACCCGGCGCCCUCAGCGCCGGUGCACUCCGCGGGGCGCAGGCCAGCAUCGGUUUUCCUAGGGGGAUAAAGGCGGCGGGAACGUGGCUCCUUCGGGAGUGUUAUAGCCCGUCGUGCCAUGCCCCUGGGGGGACCGAGGACCGCGCUUCGGCAAGGAUGCUGGCGUAAUGGCCACCGGCGACCCGUCUUGAAACACGGACCAAGGAGUCAAGCAUUGGGGCGAGUGUCUGGGUGCCAAACCCGCACGCGAAAUGAAAGUGAACGCAGGUGAGAGCUUCGGCGCAUCAUCGACCGAUCCUGAUGUUCUCGGAUGGAUUUGAGUAAGAGCCUUACCGCUUGGACCCGAAAGAUGGUGAACUAUGCCUGUAUAGGGUGAAGCCAGAGGAAACUCUGGUGGAGGCUCGCAGCGGUUCUGACGUGCAAAUCGAUCGUCAAAUAUGGGCAUGGGGGCGAAAGACUAAUCGAACCAUCUAGUAGCUGGUUACCGCCGA